rnacentral:rRNA from 1 species
AUUGAACGCUGGCGGCAUGCCUUACACAUGCAAGUCGAACGGUAACAGGUCUUCGGAUGCUGACGAGUGGCGAACGGGUGAGUAAUACAUCGGAACGUGCCCGAUCGUGGGGGAUAACGAAGCGAAAGCUUUGCUAAUACCGCCUAAGAUCUACGGAUGAAAGCAGGGGACCGCAAGGCCUUGCGCGAACGGAGCGGCCGAUGGCAGAAUAGGUAGUUGGUGGGAUAAAAGCUUACGAAGCCGACGAUCUGUAGCUGGUCUGAGAGGACGACCGCCCACACUGGGACUGAGACACGGCCCAGACUCCUACGGGAGGCAGCAGUGGGAAUUUUGGACAAUGGGCGAAAGCCUGAUCCAGCCAUGCCGCGUGCAGGAUGUAGGCCUUCGGGUUGUAAACUGCUUUUGUACGGAACGAAAAGACUCUUUCUAAUAAAGAGGGUCCAUGACGGUACCGUAAGAAUAAGCACCGGCUAACUACGUGCCAGCCGCCGCCGUAAGAC